GGGGCCAGCUGGGAGCUAUUGAGGCCACCCCGGUGGCACCAGAGCCCUCUCAGGCAGGCAGACCCAGGGCCUCCCCACCACACUUUGUUCAUGGAUUUUGUCGCUGGAGCCAUUGGAGGCGUCUGCGGUGUUGCUGUGGGCUACCCCCUGGACACGGUGAAGGACCUGCUGACCUUGCCCUAGGCCUGGAGCUGCCCCUGCCUGAAGCCCACUUCUCCUGCAGGUCAGGAUCCAGACGGAGCCAAAGUACACAGGCAUCUGGCACUGUAUCCGGGAUACGUAUCACAGAGAGCGCGUGUGGGGCUUCUACCGGGGCCUCUCGCUGCCCGUCUGCACAGUGUCCCUGGUCUCCUCUGUGUCUUUUGGCACCUACUGCCACUGCCUGGCACACAUCUGCCGGCUCCGGUACGGCAGCCCCGACGCCAAGCCCGCCAAGGCCGACAUCACGCUCUCAGGAUGUGCCUCUGGCCUUGUCCGCGUGUUCCUGACAUCGCCCACUGAGGUGGCCAAAGUCCGCCUGCAGACGCAGACACAGACGCAGCAGCGGCGGCUCUCGGCCUCGGGGCCCUCAGGUGUGCCCCCUGCCUGCCCAGAGCCCAAGUACCGCGGGCCGCUGCACUGCCUGGCCACCGUGGCCCGUGAGGAGGGGCUGCGCGGCCUCUACAAGGGCAGCUCGGCCCUGCUCUUGCGGGACGGCCACUCCUUUGCCACCUACUUCCUCUCCUACGCCGUCCUCUGCGAGUGCCUCAGCCCCGCUGGCCACAGCCACCCAGAUGUCUUGGGUGUGCUGGUGGCCGGGGGCUGUGCAGGGGUCCUGGCCUGGGCUGUGGCCACCCCCAUGGAUGUGAUCAAGUCGAGACUGCAGGCCGACGGGCAGGGCCAGCGGCGCUACCGGGGCCUCCUGCACUGCGUGGUGACCAGCGUGCGCGAGGAGGGGCCCCGGGUCCUCUUCAAGGGGCUGCUGAUCAACUGUGGCCGCGCCUUUCCCGUCAACAUGGUGGUCUUUGUCGCCUAUGAAGCGGUGCUGAGGCUCACCCGAGGUCUGCUCACAUAGCUGGUCCCCACGCCCAGAGGCCCACCUUCUGGCAGCUGCCAGAGGUCAUAGUGGCUGGAGGAGGCCAGAGGGCGCGUGGCUGGGGUCAGGACCCCACAAGGCCAUUGCCCAGGACAACGGGGAGCCUCCCUGUAGUGCGUUGGCCGAGGCCUGAGCUUGGCCUGCCCAGCUACUGACCUCAGGUCGAGGGGCCCCCCAGCCAUCAGCCCAGGGUUGGCCUGCGGUGGCAGGAGCCGGGGAGGAGUGGGCCCCUUUGAUGAGGGCAUGUGUCUCAUGGAGUCAGUUGUUCAUUCCAGCUUCCCCAUUGCCCCCGUCUCCCAUAUCUUUGGAGCACCCCUCCAGGGAGUCAGGUGUGCGCUCAGCCACCCUCUGCCCUGUUCCCAGACCCUCGCCCACACUGCUGUUCCUGUGUCUUCAUGAACCAUCCCUUGUAGGCAGGGGCUCCCCACAGGCUGGGGGCCUCAGGAUGGGGAGCAGGAGCUGGGCUGGCACCACGACUGAGGGCUCCAGGCCCAGCUCGUUCCCUGCAGCAGGCUACUCCAGGAGGGCACUGCUGGGGCUGCCAUGCCCACCUGGCAGGUGCCUGGGGUGGCCAUCCUAGCCUGGUUAGGGAAUUUGGGGUGAGGUUCCUCAGGAGCCCUCACUCUGCCUGUGGAUGCUGCACCUGCCACUUAAAGACCCCGAAGACUGUUGGGAACUGUUGUCAAUAAAAUGUUUCUGAGGAUGUUCA